rfam:Stegodyphus mimosarum contig110747, whole genome shotgun sequence.
GCUUUUGUGGUGUAGUGGUCAGCACGCUCGGCGCGUAUUCAAGAAGUCCAUGGUUCGAAUCCAGGCGAGGGCA